rnacentral:rRNA from 1 species
AUUGAACGCUGGCGGCAGGCUUAACACAUGCAAGUCGAACGAGUGGCGGACGGGUGAGUAAUGCUUGGGAAUCUAGCUUAUGGAGGGGUCUAACUACGGGAAACUGUAGCUAAUACCGCGUACCAUAGGAUGAGCCCCAGUGGGAUUAGGUAGUUGGUGUGGUAAAGGCUCACCAAGCCGACGAUCGCUAGCUGGUCUGAGAGGAUGACAGGCCAAACGGGGACUGAGAAACGGCCCAGACUCCGACGGGAGGCAGCAGUGGGGAAUAUUGCGCAAUGGGGGAAAGCUGACGCAGCCAUGCCGCGUGAAUGAAGAAGGCCUUCGGGUUGUAAAGUUCUUUCGGUAGCGAGGCGUUAACUACAGAAGAAGCACCGGCUAACUCCGUGCCAGCAGCCGCGGUAAUAC